CUCACCUUAUCCACACCAUCCUCCAUCGCGGGAUCCCCUCUCCGGCGAUCCACCGUGCCGCUGCUUGCCAUCAGCGUCCACGCCGCACGAACAAAGGAAUGGAAGGCGUCGGUGCGCCUCUUGCCGUCGGCGUCCUGCCGCAGCAGCCAAGAAAAUGGCGUGGCGGCGCAGACGGCCUCCUCCAUCCCAGGAGGCCCUCUCUAGCGAGGUUUAAACGGAUGAGUGAUGCUUGGUGUAUUCUUUUGUGUCAAUCUGAACAAACAUGGAGGGACGAGUAGGCUUCAGUUCACUGUGACUCCAUGAACGGAGUUCAACCACUCUGAAAAAGGGCAGCGCACGUAGAAUCCGCUCGAAUGGCGCGGUGGCGGUCGUGAGUGAAGUGCAUGGUGGCCUCCGGCUAUAGAGGAAGAGAGCAGAAUAGAUGACGCGGCUUAGAGGUCCUUCAUCUAAAGGUUCUGAAAAUUGAUGUUGGGGCUGCACUGCAAGUUCUGAAUUUUGCAAUAUUCCCUAAGGAAUUGACUGACAUGGAAGACCGUGAGCAGAGGGAGACUGAGAAACAACAAGAUGCAGGUGCAGGUGGUGAUAACGUAUAUGGACCUGGAGGAGCAAGUGGUGGCAAUGACGUGCAUGGAAGGUGAGUUUACACCUUUAUGCAGUGUUAAGUGUUCUAUUCCCUCUGGUUGGAAAUAAGUGUUGUACGCCACUUAUUUCUGAUAGGAGGGAGUAUUAAUUAAGAUCUGAAUCAUCCUUUUUAAUAUUGAAAUGGUCCUCCCUCCAUUGGACUUUCCCAGAAAGUAGUCUGUCUCUAUUCAACUACUCCUGGGAAUUAUUUUGUUAGAUAAUUUAACUCCAUCCAGCUCCAUUGAUGUACAGGAAUGAAUGUUAAAUGAAGAUUACUAAUCCCUCGUUGGCUGGCGGUCAAUUUGUUACUGCUUUGUUAGAUUAUUUUGUUAGGAUAUUUUUUGUUGACAUGCAAUCCAAUCCCUUGUUGGCUGGCGGUCAAUUUGUUACUGCAUUGAUUCAAUAUUAAGGAUAUAUGUCAUCGCUAAGAUAGUA